rnacentral:rRNA from 1 species
AUUGAACGCUGGCGGCAUGCUUUACACAUGCAAGUCGAACGGUAACAGGCCUUCGGGUGCUGACGAGUGGCGAACGGGUGAGUAAUGCAUCGGAACGUGCCCAGAGGUGGGGGAUAACGCAGCGAAAGCUGUGCUAAUACCGCAUGUGAUCUGAGGAUGAAAGCGGGGGACCAGGCAGCAAUGUUUGGCCUCGCGCCUUUGGAGCGGCCGAUGUCAGAUUAGGUAGUUGGUGGGGUAAAGGCCUACCAAGCCGACGAUCUGUAGCUGGUCUGAGAGGACGAAGAGCGACAGGGGGGAGGAGACACGGCACAGGAACCGAGGGGAGGGAGGGAGGGGGAAGUUGGGAAAAGGGGGGGAAGCCUGACCAAGAAAGGCCGGGGGGGGGAAGAAGGCCUGCGGGUGGGAAAACGGUUUUGGGGGGAAAAAAAGGGCUCGGGCUAAAACCGGGGGGAGAGAAGGGAACGGGAAAAAAAAAAACGGGUAAAAUAGGG